UAGGUGUGAAACGGUUUGCCAUUUCAAUCU
rnacentral:piRNA from 1 species